AUUGAACGCUGGCGGCAGGCCUAACACAUGCAAGUCGAACGGCAGCACAGAAGAGCUUGCUCUUUGGGUGGCGAGUGGCGGACGGGUGAGUAAUGUCUGGGAAACUGCCCGAUGGAGGGGGAUAACUACUGGAAACGGUAGCUAAUACCGCAUAACGUCGCAAGACCAAAGUGGGGGACCUUCGGGCCUCACACCAUCGGAUGGGCCCAGAUGGGAUUCGCUAGUAGGUGGGGUAAUGGCUCACCUAGGCGACGAUCCCUAGCUGGUCUGAGAGGAUGACCAGCCACACUGGAACUGAGACACGGUCCAGACUCCUACGGGAGGCAGCAGUGGGGAAUAUUGCACAAUGGGCGCAAGCCUGAUGCAGCCAUGCCGCGUGUAUGAAGAAGGCCUUCGGGUUGUAAAGUACUUUCAGCGGGGAGGAAGGCGGUGAGGUUAAUAACCUUGCCGAUUGACGUUACCCGCAGAAGAAGCACCGGCUAACUCCGUGCCAGCAGCCGCCGUAA
rnacentral:rRNA from 1 species